rnacentral:pre_miRNA from 1 species
ACAACAUUAGGACCGUCAGUCUACCGAGCAGUUUCACUUGCUCGGUGGAAGAUCUUCUCUUUGUCUU